rnacentral:rRNA from 1 species
UACGGGGGGUGCGAGCGUUGUCCGGAAUCACUGGGCGUAAAGGGCGCGUAGGUGGCGUGAUAAGGGUGUGGUGAAAGCCCGGGGCUCAACCCCGGGUCUGCCAUGCCGACUGUCAGGCUAGAGUACUGUAGGGGCAGGCGGAAUUCCGGGUGUAGCGGUGGAAUGCGUAGAUAUCAGGAGGAACACCGGUGGUGUAGACGGCUUUCUGGACCGUAACUGACGCUGAGACACGAAAGCGUGGGUAGCAAACAGG